AAUGGAGGAGUUGAUAGAAGGAAAAGGAGAACAGACGAGGUUGAUGGACGCUCAUAUCGGAACGUGUUGAGUGGGACGGGUUCUACUACUGCUGCUGAGUCUCGACACCAGGAUGGUUACCAGCCAUUCUGACUCCCCUGAGUAAAGAGAUCAUCAAGACGUGCUGAUCGAUUCAUCACUCCAACCCCAUCCACCUCCUUCAUAUAUCAAUCGACAAAAAUGUGGAACGAUUGUAGAAACACUGCUAGCAAUAUCAACUUCUCUACAUCAACGAACCUUGUGAAAUCCACAAUAAAAAAGGAGUUACUCGGCAUGCAGUCCAGGUACGACGAAAUAGAUUGGUGUGAACUGAACUUCGAUUCCAACGAACU